AACGAACGCUGGCGGCAUGCCUAACACAUGCAAGUCGAACGAGACCUUCGGGUCUAGUGGCGCACGGGUGCGUAACGCGUGGGAACCUGCCCUUAGGUUCGGAAUAACUCCCCGAAAGGGGUGCUAAUACCGGAUAAUGUCUUCGGACCAAAGAUUUAUCGCCUUUGGAUGGGCCCGCGUUGGAUUAGCUAGUUGGUAGGGUAAAAGCCUACCAAGGCGACGAUCCAUAGCUGGUCUGAGAGGAUGAUCAGCCACACUGGGACUGAGACACGGCCCAGACUCCGACGGGAGGCAGCAGUGGGGAAUAUUGGACAAGGGGCGAAAGCCUGAUCCAGCAAUGCCGCGUGAGUGAGGAAGGCCGUAGGGUUGUAAAGCUCUUUUACCCGGGAUGAUAAUGACAGUACCGGGAGAAUAAGCUCCGGCUAACUCCGUG
rnacentral:rRNA from 1 species